rnacentral:rRNA from 1 species
UUUUGGACAAUGGGCGAAAGCCUGAUCCAGCAAUGCCGCGUGCAGGAAGAAGGCCUUCGGGUUGUAAACUGCUUUUCCCCCCCCCGAAACGGUCUGCCCUAAUACGGCGGGCUAAUGACGGUACCGUAAGGAUAAGCACCGGCUAACUACGUGCCAGCAGCCGCGGUAAUACGUAGGGUGCGAGCGUUAAUCGGAAUUACUGGGCGUAAAGCGUGCGCAGGCGGUUAUGUAAGACAGUUGUGAAAUCCCCGGGCUCAACCUGGGAAUUGCAUCUGUGACUGCAUAGCUAGAGUACGGUAGAGGGGGAUGGAAUUCCGCGUGUAGCAGUGAAAUGCGUAGAUAUGCGGAGGAACACCGAGGCGAAGGCAAUCCCCUGACCUGUACUGACGCUCAUGCACGAAA